rnacentral:rRNA from 1 species
UAGGGAAUCUUCGGCAAUGGACGGAAGUCUGACCGAGCAACGCCGCGUGAGUGAAGAAGGUUUUCGGAUCGUAAAGCUCUGUUGUAAGAGAAGAACGAGUGUGAGAGUGGAAAGUUCACACUGUGACGGUAUCUUACCAGAAAGGGACGGCUAACUACGUGCCAGCAGCCGCGGUAAUACGUGGGUCCCGAGCGUUGUCCGGAUUUAUUGGGCGUAAAGCGAGCGCAGGCGGUUAGAUAAGUCUGAAGUUAAAGGCUGUGGCUUAACCAUAGUAGGCUUUGGAAACUGUUUAACUUGAGUGCAAGAGGGGAGAGUGGAAUUCCAUGUGUAGCGGUGAAAUGCGUAGAUAUAUGGAGGAACACCGGUGGCGAAAGCGGCUCUCUGGCUUGUAACUGACGCUGAGGCUCGAAAGCGUGGGGAGCAAACAGGAUUAGAUACCCUGGUAGUCCACGCUGUAAACGAUGAGUGCUAGGUGUUAGACCCUUUCCGGGGUUUAGUGCCGUAGCUAACGCAUUAAGCACUCCGCCUGGGGAGUACGACCGCAAGGUUG